rnacentral:rRNA from 1 species
AUGUCGGCGCCGCCCUCUCUCAAGUCCCCGGCCACCGCCGCCUUCCUCGCCUCCCCAUGCUUGGCCGUCGCCCCGAGAGCCGCCGUGCUCGGCGCCACUGCGCAGCCGCCGCGACGCCUAAGCUGCUCUGCAGCCGUUGGAGCCGAAGCCAGGGAUCUCGAGGUGAUGAGUGCUCCCCUGGACUGGGCGGCGAGGUCGGUGGGGGAGCUGGAGCAAGCGACAGACCUGGACACUUUCUGUAUGAUGGCGCUAUCACCUCUGGACGGCCGAUACUUCAGAUUUAUUAAGGACUUGAUGCCCUUCUUCAGUGAGUUCGGCCUCAUCAGAUACCGCGUCUUAGUCGAGGUCAGAUGGUUGCUGAAGCUUUCUCAAAUUCCUGAGGUCAAGGAGGUGCCGCCGUUUAGUGAGGAGGCCCAACUAUUUCUGGAUGCAAUCAUCCAAGAUUUUAGCAUCAAUGAUGCUAAAGAGGUGAAACAAAUUGAGAAAAUAACUAACCACGAUGUGAAGGCUGUUGAGUACUAUCUGAAGCAGAAAUGCAGCUCAAAUCCAGAGGUUGCAAAGGUUUUGGAAUUCUUCCAUUUUGGAUGCACUUCUGAAGAUAUCAACAACUUGUCACAUGCAUUAGCUCUAAAAGAGGGGGUAAACACAAUUAUGUUCCCUGUGAUGAUCGAUGUAUGCAGUGCAAUAUGUUCCUUGGCAACGGAAAAUGCACACGUCCCUUUGCUGUCUAAAACUCACGGACAGCCGGCAUCACCAACAACUCUGGGAAAAGAGAUGGCAAAUUUUGCAGCCAGAUUAUCUGAUAUCGGGAAGAGUUUUUCUGAGGUUAAGAUACUAGGGAAAUUUGCUGGCGCUGUUGGAAAUUACAAUGCUGAUGUAGUUGCAUAUCCGGAAAUUGACUGGCCUAAGAUGACAGAAGAGUUUGUCAGGUCCUUAGGUUUGGAGUUCAAUCCUUACGUUACUCAGAUUGAACCUCAUGACUAUAUCUCAAAGCUCUUCAAUCUAUUUGUCCAGUUUAACAUUGUCUUGACUGAUUUUGACAGAGACAUGUGGUCUUACAUAUCAGCAGGCUACUUCAAGCAGAUACCAAAGGCUGGUGAAGUUGGAUCCUCCACCAUGCCUCACAAAAUCAAUCCCAUCAACUUUGAAAAUAGUGAAGGCAAUCUUAGCGUGUCGAAUGGUCUUUUAUGUACUUUAAGUAUGAAGCUACCAAUAUCAAGGUUGCAGCGUGAUCUCACAGAUUCAACUGUUUUGAGAAACUUGGGUGUUGGAUUAGGGCAUUCACUCUUGGCUUACAAAGCAACAAUGCAGGGAAUCAAGAAGCUAGAGGUGAACAAAGUCCGUUUGGAUGAGGACUUGGAGCAAACAUGGGAAGUCCUUGCAGAGCCAAUACAGACUGUGAUGCGAAGGUAUGGGAUCCCCGAACCCUUUGAGAAACUGAAGGAAAUGACUAGAGGCCAGGCUGUAACCAAAGACAGCAUACGCAAGUUCAUUGAAGGUCUUGACCUGCCGGAGGAUGCGCAGUCAAGUCUUUUGAAGUUAACACCACACUCUUACACUGGAGAGGCGGAGAAUCUGGCUGCAAAUAUUUGGAAUGUGGUUGACCUGAAAUCUGGAUUUAAGAUCAAGUGA